rnacentral:rRNA from 1 species
GUCGUAACAAGGUUUCCGUUGGUGAACCAGCGGAGGGAUCAUUACCGAGUUUACAACUCCCAAACCCAAUGUGAACCAUACCAAACUGUUGCCUCGGCGGGGUCACGCCCCGGGUGCGUCGCAGCCCCGGAACCAGGCGCCCGCCGGAGGGACCAACCAAACUCUUUCUGUAGUCCCCUCGCGGACGUUAUUUCUUACAGCUCUGAGCAAAAAUUCAAAAUGAAUCAAAACUUUCAACAACGGAUCUCUUGGUUCUGGCAUCGAUGAAGAACGCAGCGAAAUGCGAUAAGUAAUGUGAAUUGCAGAAUUCAGUGAAUCAUCGAAUCUUUGAACGCACAUUGCGCCCGCCAGUAUUCUGGCGGGCAUGCCUGUCCGAGCGUCAUUUCAACCCUCGAACCCCUCCGGGGGGUCGGCGUUGGGGAUCGGGAACCCCUAAGACGGGAUCCCGGCCCCGAAAUACAGUGGCGGUCUCGCCGCAGCCUCUCCUGCGCAGUAGUUUGCACAACUCGCACCGGGAGCGCGGCGCGUCCACGUCCGUAAAACACCCAACUUCUGAAAUGUUGACCUCGGAUCAGGUAGGAAUACCCGCUGAACUUAAGCAUAUCAAUAAGCGGAGGA